UUUACCAAUGGAUGUUCGAGACUUGAUGGAGAAGGCAGCAGAGCGCAAUAUCAAGGAACAUGAAAAUCGCAGAGCCAUGG
rnacentral:rRNA from 13 species